UUCUCGAAUUUAGAAGAGCUAUACGAUUUAUUGUAAUAAAUAUUUAUAAUUUGGAGUGAAAUGUUAAUAUAUCUAGUUUUUUAAGAAAAUUUAAUUUUAUUAUAUUAGAAGGGAAGAGCUUUCUAUAGGAUUAGAAUUUUAGUUAUAUUUGGCUUAUUAAAAAUUAAACUAUAAUUGAUUUAUUUAUAAUGAUAGGAUUAGUAUAAGGUUAAGUAAAGGAAUUCGGCAAAUACUUUCCGCCUGUUUAAUAAAAACAUGUCCUUCUGUUUAUAAUAAAAGGUCUAGCCUGCCCACUGAGGCUGCGGUAUCCUGACCGUGCUAAGGUAGCAUAAUCAUUAGUUCUUUAAUUGAGAGCUGGAAUGAAAGGUUGGACGAGAAAGUAACUGUCUCUAUUUAAUAGAAUUUUAUCUUUAAGUAAAAAAGCUUAAAUUUUUUAAAAAGACGAGAAGACCCUAUAGAGUUUUAUUUUGGUUGGGGUGACUGAAAAAUUAAUUUAACUUUUGAUUAUAAGAUAAAAUUACCUUAGGGAUAACAGCGUAAUUUUUCUUAGAGUUCUAAUCGAAAGAAGAGUUUGCGACCUCGAUGUUGGAUUAAAAUAAAUUUUGGUGUAGAAGCU
rnacentral:rRNA from 1 species